CUGCGAGGCUAAGCUAGUGGGAGCAAAGUUUCAGUGCAUUCCGUUGAUGUAGACGGCGUGAAAACGGAAACAACAAGAAUGCCGGCUCACUGUGCUGCAUACAAUUACACACUGCGUCGUACGAUUGAGACAAGGAAACUUGGAAUGACUUUUCAUAGGUUUCCCAGAGACUAUGGGUUGAGGAGGAGGUGGAAGUUUGUCGGCUUAGACCUGGUGUCAUUCCAUCAGUGUUAAAGUUCCCGGCUCAUCUUGGAAGAGUACGUGCCAGAAAGACCACGACCAAGCAGCCUUGAGAUCUUAGGCAGCGUCUCCCUGAGGUCCCUCUCUAUCUCCCCACACAUCCACCAACCACUGGAACACAUCUCCAAAGUUCUGCCAGGCCAGCUCAGCUUCCCCUCAGAAGAAGUGCUGCCAGAUGAAGGAACCUUUUGAGAGGCAGCUGGCAUCGUGAUUGGACUGUACUUUGGUCUGUUCCAAUCCAGCUUCAGCUCCAGAGACGGCAGGCGGGACGAGUCAACGGAGGCCGGGUGGACGAAGGCAUGCAGCUGAGUACAAUACAGAAAACAACAGAGGAGGAGUGCAGGGCCAGAACAGAGUAGCAUCUUAUGUCUCUUAGAAAACAUCAUAGUAUAGAAAAAACGCCAUCAUAUACAUCUUAUAUUGUACAAAUAACGAGUCAAAGGAAAGAGACAUACAUUGUAGAAUUGUAGUAAUUGUGGGCUGACUGGCCUUGGCAAUGGUUGUCGGAAUGUGAAUAACACUGACCACACCUCACAGAGGUUAUAAGCUGAGGCAACAUCAACCACCACCAGAACUGAAGAAGCCUCUUGGAUGAGUGGUGAAACGUCUUCAAGGAACCUUCUUAAAGUCCAGUUGGAUUGAUUUAAACAACUUUGGAUGACUGAUUUACUGAUUAUCAGUAUUUUAUUUUUUACUGAUUUACGGUAAUAAAUACAUUUAAAAAUGGUGCUACUUUGGCUCUGAACCUUUAUCUACCUGUGGUCGCUCUGUCUUCUGGAGUGAUUUGAUUGGUUAUACGUCACGAAUAAAACUCCUUUAACUUAACAUCUGUAAACAAAACAAAAACAUAUCAACAAAGUUUUCUGUUAGAGUUUGUGUUCUUCUAAGUUUAACUCCAAGAUUUUAAAUACUUUCAUUU